GAUGAACGCUGGCGGCGUGCCUAAUACGUGCAAGUCGAGCGAAUGGAUUAAGAGCUUGCUCUUAUGAAGUUAGCGGCGGACGGGUGAGUAACACGUGGGUAACCUGCCCAUAAGACAGGGAUAACUCCGGGAAACCGGGGCUAAUACCGGAUAACAUUUUGAACCGCAUGGUUCGAAAUUGAAAGGCGGCUUCGGCUGUCACUUAUGGAUGGACCCGCGUCGCAUUAGCUAGUUGGUGAGGUAACGGCUCACCAAGGCAACGAUGCGUAGCCGACGUGAGAGGGUGAUCGGCCACACUGGGACUGAGACGCGGCCCAGACUCCUACGGGAGGCAGCAGUAGGGAAUCUUCCGCAAUGGACGAAAGUCUGACGGAGCAACGCCGCGUGAGUGAUGAAGGCUUUCGGGUCGUAAAACUCUGUUGUUAGGGAAGAACAAGUGCUAGUUGAAUAAGCUGGCACCUUGACGGUACCUAACCAGAAAGCCACGGCUAACUACGUGCCAGCCGCCGCCGUAA
rnacentral:rRNA from 1 species